AGCAGUAGCCGCGGUAAUACAGAGGGUGCAAGCGUUAAUCGGAAUUACUGGGCGUAAAGCGCGCGUAGGUGGUUUGUUAAGUUGGAUGUGAAAGCCCCGGGCUCAACCUGGGAACUGCAUCCAAAACUGGCAAGCUAGAGUACGGUAGAGGGUGGUGGAAUUUCCUGUGUAGCGGUGAAAUGCGUAGAUAUAGGAAGGAACACCAGUGGCGAAGGCGACCACCUGGACUGAUACUGACACUGAGGUGCGAAAGCGUGGGGAGCAAACAGGAUUAGAUACCCCUGUAGUCCCUGUCUCUUAUAC
rnacentral:rRNA from 1 species